rnacentral:rRNA from 1 species
AUUGAACGCUGGCGGCAGGCCUAACACAUGCAAGUCGAGCGGAGCGGCGGACGGGUGAGUAAUGCCUAGGAAUCUGCCUGGCCGUGGGGGAUAACGUCCGGAAACGUGCGCUAAUACCGCAUACUAUCAGAUGAGCCUAGGUCGGAUUAGCUUGUUGGUGGGGUAAAGGCAUACCAAGGCGACGAUCCGUAACUGGUCUGAGAGGAUGAUCAGUGACACUGGAACGGAAACACGAUCCAGACUCCUACGGGAGGCAGCAGUGGGGAAUAGUGGACAAGGGGCGAAAGCCUGAUCCAGCCAUGCCGCGUGUGUGAAGAAGGUCUUCGUAUUUGAAAGCACUUUAAGUUGGGAAGCGGUACCAACAGAAUAAGCACCGGCUAACUUCGUGCCAGCCGCCGCGGUAAUUC